rnacentral:rRNA from 1 species
UACGUAGGGGGCUAGCGUUGUCCGGAAUCAUUGGGCGUAAAGAGCUCGUAGGCGGUGUGUCGCGUCGGCCGUGAAAACCUGCAGCUUAACUGUGGGCUUGCGGUCGAUACGGGCAUCACUGGAGUUCGGCAGGGGAGACUGGAAUUCCUGGUGUAGCGGUGAAAUGCGCAGAUAUCAGGAGGAACACCAGCGGCGAAGGCGGCGCUCUGGGCCGGAACUGACGCUGAGGAGCGAAAGCGUGGGGAGCAAACAGG